rnacentral:hammerhead_ribozyme from 1 species
GCACUGCCGAGGAGUCCGAUAAUAGGACGAAACAACCGUCCAGUGC